rnacentral:rRNA from 1 species
CGAUGCCUAAUACAUGCAAGUCGAGCGAACAGAGAAGGAGCUUGCUCCUUCGACGUUAGCGGCGGACGGGUGAGUAACACGUGGGCAACCUACCUUAUAGUUUGGGAUAACUCCGGGAAACCGGGGCUAAUACCGAAUAAUCUAUUUUACUUCAUGGUGAAAUACUGAAAGACGGUUUCGGCUGUCGCUAUAAGAUGGGCCCGCGGCGCAAUAGCUAGUUGGUGAGGUAACGGCUCACCAAGGCAACGAUGCGUAGCCGACCUGCAGAGGGUAGAUCGGCCACACUAGGGACUUGAGACACGGCCCAGACUCCUACGGGAGGCAGCAGUAGGGAAUCUUCCCGCAAUUGGGACGAAAGUCUUGACUGGAGCAACCGCCGCGUUAAGUUGAUUGAAGUGCUUUACGGGUCCGUAAAACUCCUGGUUUGUUUAGGGGAAGAAACCAA